ACUUCUUUAUCACCGAGUGCUUGCACUCACCGGUAAAGGGUUGAGUGGCGAACGGGUGAGUAACACGUGGGCAACCUGCCCAAAAGAGGGGGAUAACACUUGGAAACAGGUGCUAAUACCGCAUAACCAUAGUUACCGCAUGGUAGCUAUGUAAAAGGUGGCUAUGCUACCGCUUUUGGAUGGGCCCGCGGCGCAUUAGCUAGUUGGUGGGGUAAAGGCUUACCAAGGCAAUGAUGCGUAGCCGAACUGAGAGGUUGAUCGGCCACAUUGGGACUGAGACACGGCCCAAACUCCUACGGGAGGCAGCAGUAGGGAAUCUUCCACAAUGGGCGAAAGCCUGAUGGAGCAACGCCGCGUGGGUGAAGAAGGUCUUCGGAUCGUAAAACCCUGUUGUUAGAGAAGAAAGUGCGUGAGAGUAACUGUUCACGUUUCGACGGUAUCUAACCAGAAAGCCACGGCUAACUACGUGCCAGCAGCCGCGGUAAUACGUAGGUGGCAAGCGUUAUCCGGAUUUAUUGGGCGUAAAGGGAACGCAGGCGGUCUUUUAAGUCUGAUGUGAAAGCCUUCGGCUUAACCGGAGUAGUGCAUUGGAAACUGGGAAACUUGAGUGCAGAAGAGGAGAGUGGAACUCCAUGUGUAGCGGUGAAAUGCGUAGAUAUAUGGAAGAACACCAGUGGCGAAAGCGGCUCUCUGGUCUGUAACUGACGC
rnacentral:rRNA from 1 species